rnacentral:misc_RNA from 1 species
GACCUGACCUUUUCUACCAUCAUCUUGGGCAUAUUUGGCUGUGGUUUUUGUUGGGCGUUCAUCAAUGCUUUUCCUCAUAUUGUCAGGACGAACUCCUCGUGCUGGAAAUGAAAGACUUUGAGAAAGUGAUGGCCUCUGACUACGAGAAACAGAACCAGGGCCUUUCAAAUUAGGUUUAUCCUUGGACAGUUUGUUGCUCUUUGAACCCAGGGUAGCUGAUUCCUUGAAGGAUUUUGAGAGUUUACUUUCAGAAAGAUUUGCUUUGGCAUUUAUU